rnacentral:Y_RNA from 1 species
GGCUGGUCCGAUGCUAGUGGGUUAUCAGAACUUAUUAACAUUAGUGUCACUAAAGUUUAUAUAAAACUCUCCACUGCUAAAUUUGACUGACUUUAA